AGACACUGAAAGAGUUUUAUCAGGAAAUUCAGAGUUGCACAGUAGAUCUAGGUAUUACAUCAGACAAUUCUAAUCAUCCAGAUAACAAGAAUAAGAAUAGAUACAUAAAUAUUGUUGCCUAUGAUCAUAGCAGAGUUAAACUUACCCAACUUUCAGACAAGGAUGGAAAACUUACUGACUAUAUUAAUGCCAAUUAUGUUGAUG